UACGGGGGGGAGCAAGCGUUUGUUCGGAUUUACUGGGCGUAAAGGGCGCGUAGGCGGCGUGACAAGUCACUUGUGAAAUCUCCGGGCUUAACUCGGAACGGUCAAGUGAUACUGUCGUGCUAGAGUACAGAAGGGGCAACUGGAAUUCUCGGUGUAGCGGUGAAAUGCGUAGAUAUCGAGAGGAACACCUGCGGCGAAGGCGGGUUGCUGGGCUGAUACUGACGCUGAGGCGCGAAAGCUAGGGGAGCGAACGGG
rnacentral:rRNA from 1 species